CUGUCUCUCUCUCUCUGUCUCUCUCCCUCUCUCUGUCUCUCUCUCUCUCUCUGUCUCUCUCUCUCUCUCUGUCUCUCUCUGUCUCUCUCUCCCUCUCUCUGUGUAACUCAACCCAGUGUAGUAGUAUGGUAUGUUCUUCGUCAUCACUACUACUGUCAUGCCAAACCAAGGAAGAAGAAGAGGAAGGAAAGGGACGAUGUUGUUGUCGCUGGAAAACCCGGACAACGUUUAUAUGCUUGAAAUCCAUUUUUUAUUUUUAUUUUUUUGCAAGAAAAAAAGUUGAGAAGGAAGUUUGAGGAAUUUGAAAGAAAUUAAGUGUAAAGCAAUGUAUUGUAAUGUACAAAUCCCCCUGAUAGGUGCCGAGCCGCAAAACGUAUUAUCCUGGGAUCAUUAGUCUUCUAUCUGAGAAGACGAGCGCUGCGUGUUACCAUGGUUAUCCUUCCCAACUCUGGUUAACAUGAUGAGGCUCUGUGGCUUUUAGUUAAGACUUGACUGGGGAGGAAUCACGUGUCUCAUUGUCAUUUACAUUGACGAUGACCCUGGAAAGCUUUAGUCUAUUAUAUAUAUAUAUCAGCACAGCACAAAGACCUGGGAGUUAGAGGGGUAACGGGGGAGGGUAGCGAGGGAAGAUUGGGGAAGGUAGCGAGGGAGAAUUGGGGAAGGUAGCGAGGGAUGAUUGGGGGGGAGGGUAAUGGGGGAGUAGGGUGCUCAAAGAGACUAUGCAAUGGUGUUAUCCAGCCUUCCAUGUUUAUUCGGGGUUGGUUUGUUGAUAUCUAAAGGCCAGUCCACAGUGGAGACCUGGGCAGUGUUCCAGACCUGUCUCCUAUGUUACUGCACUACUGAUGACCAGGGACUCAUAGACAGUGAUUUGCCCUCUGUAGGAACUACGGUGCCACAGCGCAGCCAGGAGGUCACGGUAAUUCCUAAAAAAAAACAUGUGUGCCAUCACCUUUUCUACCUACUAGCCAACCAACCAGCCACAGGGGACAGCUAUAGGCAAGAGGUUAGAUUUACUGCUGCUUCCAUAGAGAUGUUCUAUCGCUGAGCGUUCUAGAGUUCUAUCACUGAGAGUUCUAGAGUUCUAUCAGCUAGAAGUCUCUCCUUUACUUCUAUAGAGAUGUUCUAUCGCUGAGCGUUCUAGAGUUCUAUCGCUGAGAGUUCUAGUUCUAUCAGCUAGAAGUCUCUCCUUUACUUCUAAAGAGACGUUCUAUCGCUGAGCGUUCUAUCAGCUAGAAGUCUCUCCUUUACUUCUAUAGAGACGUUCUAUCACUGAGAAUUCUAUCAGCAAGAAGUCUCUCCUUUACUUAUAUAGAGACGUUCUAUCGCUGAGCGUUCUAGAGUUCUAUCAGCUAGAAGUCUCUCCUUUACUUCUAUAGAGACGUUCUAUCGCUGAGAGUUCUAGAGUUCUAUCACUGAGAGUUCUAGAGUUCUAUCACUGAGAGUUCUAGAGUUCUAUCAGCUAGAAGUCUCUCCUUUACUUCUAUAGAGACGUUCUAUCACUGAGAAUUCUAUAAUUUUCUCCUUUACUUCUAUAGAGACGUUCUAUCACUGAGAAUUCUAGAAUUCUCUCCUUUACUUCUAUAGAGACAUUCUAUCACUGAGAAUUCUAGAAUUCUCUCCUUUACUUCUAUAGAGACAUUCUAUCACUGAGAAUUCUAGAAUUCUCUCCUUUAUUUCUAGAGACAUUCUAUCACUGAGAAUUGUAUCAGCUAGAAGCCUCACACCUUGAGAUGCAGAGUAGAAUAUUGGCCUGACCUGUAAACCUAAUAUGCACAUUGCUUUGGGAGGCUGAUUGAUACGAUGUACAGAGAGAGGAAACCCCAUGUCUAUAAUAUGACUAAAUAAUUAGACUUGACAGUUACAGGGACAGUGUUUUGGCGUUGUGUCUUCCUGACGGGGGGUUCAGGGUCUUCGGGGGGAAACUGCACUUUCUGAAGGACAAUCCUUAGAGGCCUGACUGAACGUUUAACCAAGGUAGAGACUCCAGCCUGCUCCUCCCACCGUCAUCCCAUGUCUCCUCCUCCCAUCGUCGUCACCACGACGACCACGAUGAUGCUGGCAUUCUGUUGUCAUUUGUUUUUAUUUCAUAAUAAUAAUGAUAUAUAUUAUUAUUUUUUUUUUUCUUCUUGGUUGAGGUUUUAUUUUACUUUAUUUUGGUGAUUUAUUUUUAGUGCUAUUAAAGAGAAUGUGUACCGAAGGUGUUUAUUAGGUUGGUUGGUGGACGGUCUCCUGGGCUGAGCCGACCCGGCCGACCGAGCGCUAGACAUAUUGAUAACUGUUUGUAAACAUUCUGGCCGUAGUGUCGGAAACACAAAAGCUGUAUAACUUGGGUGCAACCCUCAAUAAAAAGACUAACAGUGAUUGUCGUCUGUUCAUUUCUGGCCCCAAAUAGAGCCCUACACCCUACACACUUGUUAGGGGCGUGAUGUCGUCUGUUCAUUUCUGGCCCCAAAUAGAGCCCUACACCCUACACACUUGUUAGGGGCGUGAUGUCGUCUGUUCAUUUCUGGCCCUAUCCCCAAAUAGAGCCCUACACCCUACACACUUGUUAGGGGCGGCAGGGUGUCAAAGGAAUUGAACCAUUCCUGUAUGUGUUCAUUAAACAAUUCAAUUAAAAUCACUCUGUCUUGUUUCUAAGAAUUUGUAAGAUCCUUAAUUGCAUGAAAUAGACAGACCAGUCUUAUCAAAAUUAGCCAAUGGCAUUUAUUAUCGAGAGCGCGCUGCUCAUAGAGCCCUCUAUAACAGUAUAUAUAUCAAAUAUGACGUCAUAGGUUAUAAAAUGUCUCUCCUCCUCUCGACCAGGACAAAGCAGGUUCAAAGGUUAAUUCCAACUCACUAGCGCAUAUACCUGACACACACUAUAACUGGAUUAACUCCUGAAGUCUCACUAUAGUUUAUUACCACUAAACAGACAGUUCCAUCGCUGAGCGUUCUAGAGUUCUAGGUAAAACUGGUAAAACUAGGGACCCUGGGCCGAUCCCUGACAUUUGGUCUAGGUAAAACUGGUAAAACUAGGGACCCUGGGCCGAUCCCUGACAUUUGGUCUAGGUAAAACUGGUAAAACUAGGGACCCCGGGCCGAUCCCUGACAUUUGGUCUAGGUAAAACUAGGGACCCUGGGCCGAUCCCUGACAUUUGGUCUAGGUAAAACUAGGGACCCUGGGCCAAUCCCUGACAUUUGGUCUAGGUAAAACUGGUAAAACUAGGGACCCCGGGCCGAUCCCUGACAUUUGGUCUAGGUAAAACUGGUAAAACUAGGGACCCCGGGCCGAUCCCUGACAUUUGGUCUAGGUAAAACUGGUGACCAGUUUGUUCUCAAAGACACUGUGCAGAAAUCACUCCAGCAUUUCCUGGUUGCUACGAUGUCAGUAUAUGUGACAAGACAAGCAGUGUAGAGAAUCAUUAUGUUGUGUUUUUAAAGCUGGUUUACAAAAACAUUUUAUUGAAUGGGAAACAGAACUGCUCUACUGCUGCGUAGACUUGCUUUCAAGGACCGUGACAGAUCCAUAACUCAUAUUUCUACGUGAAUUUGGUUGGGGCGUGACUGAGGGAACUCCCUGAACCACAAGAUGG